GAUGAACGCUGGCGGCGUGCCUAAUACAUGCAAGUCGAGCGAACAGACGAGGAGCUUGCUCCUCUGACGUUAGCGGCGGACGGGUGAGUAACACGUGGAUAACCUACCUAUAAGACUGGGAUAACUUCGGGAAACCGGAGCUAAUACCGGAUAAUAUAUUGAACCGCAUGGUUCAAUAGAGAAAGACGGUUUUGCUGUCACUUAUAGAUGGAUCCGCGCCGCAUUAGCUAGUUGGUAAGGUAACGGCUUACCAAGGCAACGAUGCGUAGCCGACCUGAGAGGGUGAUCGGCCACACGGGAACUGAGCCACGGUCCAGGCUCCUACGGGAGGCAGCAGUAGGGAACCUUACGCAAUGGGCGAAAGCCUGACGGAGCAACGCCGCGUGAGUGGUGAAGGUCUUCGGAUCGUAAAACUCUGUUAUUAGGGAAGAACAAAUGUGUAAGUAACUAUGCACGUAUUGACGGUACCUAAUCAGAAAGCCACGGCUAACUACGUG
rnacentral:rRNA from 1 species